rnacentral:tRNA from 7 species
GGGCCCGUAGCUCAGCCUGGUAGAGCGGCGGGCUCUUAACCCGUAGGUCGUGGGUUCGAAUCCCACCGGGCCCGCCA